rnacentral:rRNA from 1 species
ACGGCUCAGUAACACGUAGGUAACCUACCCUUCGGACGGGCACAAUCCCGGGAAACUGGGGCUAAUUCCCGAUAGGUACCCCCUUCUGGAAUGUGGGGAUAUCCAAAGCUCCGGCGCCGAAGGAUGGGCCUGCGGCCGAUUAGGUUGUUGGCGGGGUAACAGCCCACCAAGCCGACGAUCGGUACGGGCAGUGAGAGCUGUAGCCCGGAGAUGGGGACUGAGACAAGGCCCCAGGCCCUACGGGGCGCAGCAGGCGCGAAACCUUCACAAUGCACGAAAGUGUGAUGAGGGUACUCCGAGUGCGCAUACAUUGUAUGCGCUUUUCUGCAGCGUAAAUAGUUGCAGGAAUAAGGGCUGGGCAAGACCGGUGCCAGCCGCCGCGGUAACACCGGCAGCCCUAGUGGUGGCCGCUUUUAUUGGGCCUAAAGCGUCCGUAGCCGGACAGGCGAGUCUUUGGGUAAAUCCUACGUCUUAAGCGUGGGAAUUCUAAAGAUACUACCUGUCUUGAGGCCGGGAGAGGCUGGAGGUACUCCUGGGGUAGGGGUAAAAUCCUAUAAUCCUGGGGGGACCACCGAUGGCGAAGGCAUCCAGCUGGAACGGGCCUGACGGUGAGGGACGAAACCCAGGGGAGCGAGCCGGAUUAGAUACCCGGGUAGUCCUGGGCGUAAAUGAUGUGGGCUUGGUGUGAGCGCAUCGACGAGGUGCGCUUGUGCCGUAGGGAAGCCGUUAAGCCCACCGCCUGGGGAGUACGGUCGCAAGGCUGAAACUUAAAGGAAUUGGCGGGGGAG